GAUGAUUUGGGAUAGAUAGAUAUGCCACAGAAUUCAAAGGUGUGUUAUCUUGAUAAAGAAGAAGUGAUUUGUGUUGAAGAAAGGUCCACACUGGUAGGGUUUAGGGUUUGUUGGUCGCUGACAACAUCAAGCACAAUGCCAACAUGUUCCCUAACCACUCAUUACUCAUCGAUGUGAAGUUAAACUGAUUCAUGCAAUUUUCUUUCUUAGCUUCAUUUCUAUUUUGGUAUAUGCAGAGGGUUGAGUACACAUUAUCAGCUAGGGGGGGCUUGGGU
rnacentral:lncRNA from 1 species